CACGAAUCAGUGGCAUGCCACUGUGGCCAAGAAGGCCAAUGGUAUACUGAGGUGCAUUAAAACAAAUGUGGCCAGCAGGUCAGCGGACCUUUGUCCUCUACUCUGUCCGGGUGAGGCCACAUCUGAAGUACUGCAUCCAGGUCUGGGUUCCUUUGUUAAAAAAGAAGGAUCUUCUAGGUCCAGAGCAGGGCCACAAAGAUGAGUAAGGGCUUGGAGCAUCUCCUUUCUGAGAAAAGGCUGAGACACCUGAGACUGUUCAGCCUGGAGAACAGAAGGCUGAGAGGGGAUCUCAUCACUGCUUAUAAAUAUCUAAACUGUGGGAGUUAAAUGAGUGGGGCCAGGCAGUGGUGCGGUGCAGUGACAGAACAAGGAGCAAUGGGCACAAACUGCAACACAGGAAGUUCCACAGAAACACAAAGAAGAAAUUCUUUAUUGUGAGGGAGACAGAGCACAGGAACAUGUGUCCAGAGAGGUUGUGGAGUCUCCUCUGGAGAUAUUCAAGACCCAUGUGGACACUUUCAUGCUGACUGAAUAAACUUGCUUUACAAUUGAGGAACUUCUUGAGUUUCCAGUGCUGCGUACACAAGAAUAUCUUGGAAUGGAACGUGAUGGCAGGUGCAGGUACUCGUGGGAAUAUUAUGGGUAAAUUAUGGGUAAUAUACAAAUAUUUAUUUAUAAAAACAGAAUCAUUGGGCUUUUAUUUUGUUUUAUUGGUAACACGCCGUAUUUAGGUAUAGCCCGGGCUUUUAUUUUGGCUGAAGGUAAGAUCUCAAACUGCCUCCUAAAAGCUUGAGAGCGGCAUUGUUUCAGAGAUAAAAGGGAGAGGAAGAGCACGAGCUGUCUGUACCGCUUAUGGGAAGGGCAGACGCAUAGCGCGGUACUUUCUCAGCGCCCACGGGGAUACAAACGACACCGCGAACAACCGGUUGAAACCGCAGUAAGUGGAGCAAGGCGGUGAGCAGGUAUGUGCCCGCAGGGAAAAACAAGGGGGUGCGUAAGGGGGGAAAGCCUUACGAAGGCUGGCAUAGAAAUUAAAGGCUAAAAAUUAACCGAGGUGGGUAACUCGGAGCCCGAUUGCGAUCAGCCGCUCGACCGGCUGCGGGCUGACCCGCGCCUCGGCCGCAUUCCUUCACGCCCCGCUCGGCCGGAGCCGCCCGCCCGCCCGGAGCCUCCCAUCCGCACAUCCUCGCG
rnacentral:lncRNA from 1 species